UGGGUUCCUUGUGAUUUUAAGCAGAAGUC
rnacentral:piRNA from 1 species